rnacentral:rRNA from 1 species
UACAGAGGUCUCAAGCGUUGUUCGGAUUCAUUGGGCGUAAAGGGUGUGUGGUGGCGCGGUAAGUCGGGUGUGAAAUCUCGGAGCUUAACUCCGAAACUGCAUUCGAUACUGCCGUGCUUGAGGACUGGAGAGGAGAAUGGAAUUUACGGUGUAGCGGUGAAAUGCGUAGAUAUCGUAAGGAAGACCAGUGGCGAAGGCGGGUCUCUGGACAGUUCCUGACGCUGAGGCACGAAGGUCAGGGGAGCAAACGGG